GUGCUUGCUUUGGCAGAACAUAUAAUAAAACUGGAAUGAUACAGAGAAGAUUAACAUGGUCCCUGCACAAGGAUGACAUGCAUAUUCAUAAAGCAUUCCUUAUUUCU
ensembl:snRNA U6 U6 spliceosomal RNA